GGCUUCGGUGGCGAAGUGGUUAGCGCACUUGCCUUUCACCUCUAAGGCCGCAGGUUCGAAUCUCAGUGAGAGCUUCUCAAUGUGACUCGAACCCAGUCCUCAUGUGAAAAGAGUAAAUUAAAGUCAACGCUCUGCCGAAAGUCGUGGGUUUUCUCCGGGUACUCCGUGUUUCCUCCCACAGGGAAAGUUGACAGGGUGGGUUAGGCACAUAGGAUAGGUCUGGAGGCAGAUCAUUAAUGAGGUAUGGACUAAUAGCGGCUGCUCAAGCGCCAUUUGUAAGCUCAAAGUCUACCUCGGUCUGCUUCACGUCAGUCCGG